rnacentral:rRNA from 1 species
CAGCAGCCGCGGGAAUACGAAGGGGGCUAGCGUUGCUCGGAAUGACUGGGCGUAAAGGGCGCGUAGGCGGAUCACGCAGUCAGAUGUGAAAUUCCUGGGCUUAACCUGGGGGCUGCAUUUGAGACGCGUGGUCUAGAGUGUGAAAGAGGGUCGUGGAAUUCCCAGUGUAGAGGUGAAAUUCGUAGAUAUUGGGAAGAACACCGGUGGCGAAGGCGGCGACCUGGUUCAUGACUGACGCUGAGGCGCGAAAGCGUGGGGAGCAAACAGGAUUAGAUACCCCGGUAGUCCCUGUCUCUUAUAC